rnacentral:rRNA from 1 species
UACGUAGGGCGCAAGCGUUGUCCGGAAUUAUUGGGCGUAAAGAGCUCGUAGGCGGUCUGUCGCGUCGGAUGUGAAAAUCCAGGGCUCAACCCUGGACCUGCAUUCGAUACGGGCAGACUAGAGUUCGGUAGGGGAGACUGGAAUUCCUGGUGUAGCGGUGAAAUGCGCAGAUAUCAGGAGGAACACCGGUGGCGAAGGCGGGUCUCUGGGCCGAAACUGACGCUGAGGAGCGAAAGCGUGGGGAGCAAACAGG